UACAGAGGUCCCGAGCGUUGUUCGGAUUCACUGGGCGUAAAGGGUGCGUAGGUGGUGAGGAAAGUCGGAUGUGAAAUCUCCAAGCUCAACUUGGAAAUGGCAUUGGAAACUACCUUGCGUGGAGGUUUGGAGGGGGGACUGGAAUACUUGGUGUAGCAGUGAAAUGCGUAGAUAUCAAAGUGGAACACCAGUGGCGAAGGCGAGUCCCUGGACAACACCUGACACUGAGGCACGAAAGCUAGGGGAGCAAACAGG
rnacentral:rRNA from 1 species